rnacentral:lncRNA from 1 species
UAACCACAAUCAAAUCUUCCAACUGCUUUCCCCACACUCCGAUGGCCGCCGCGGCCCUCCCUCCCUCAUCUCCUCACCUUGUCUUCCCGCCGUCGCCGUCGCCGUCGCCGUCUUCUUUCUCUGCUCUCGGCGGGUCCCACGAGAGCUUCGCGUCACUCAAUUUGACUACUCGUCCGUGGAACAAGUUGAGCAGGAAACGCCGCGUUGGGGACGGUGUUCGCCGCUUCCGGUGAUUACUAGCAAGGAAAUCAAAACCGCUUAUCUGAGAUUAGCUCGCC